AAAAGAAGAAAAGAAUCUUCAUUUCUCAUGCUAUGAUUGGUCCGUCCAGGUUCUGGACUGAUGGAAAUCUGGGAGGGGGCCAGACGUCUCUCCCAGAGCAAAUGAAACAUGAGCUAGCAGAUUUCUCUGGUUUUCUCCAUCAUUCCAUCACAGAAAACAGCUGAAGACAUAAAAUCCCCAAACUGCCUUGACAUAAUGUCCUUUACAAGUGUAUGUUAAGUUUUGUCUAGUAGACAGGAAGCAACAUCAUGAAUUUUCCAUACAGACGACGCAAUCCCACACAAUAGUUUUUGGUUGCAUGCUUAGGGUCUUCCAUUGUCUUCUUAAAAAGUACAAUUUCGUUAAAAAAAAACACCACAAGGAAAGCAUCAUCAGAAAAACAAAAAUGUUUUUUUUUCAUGUUUUGGGCUGAGGACACAGCUCAGCCUUCAAUAGCCUUAGCUUUAUAAGCCUGCUCUAGCCUUUACAAAUGACGUCAAUCCAAUGCAACGCAACCUGCUUCUCCACCGUCAGAUGUAAAUGUACUGAAACAAUUUAGGGUGAACCGCAUGACAUUUAUUUAUUUAGUUCCAAUACCCACUCAUGUAUUGCAUGGAGACCGCACUUGACUAAAUUAUCUCAAUCAACUGUGUGUGACAUAUAUUGAUUUGUAAGGUGCAGCACAUCAUCCAGAGAGAUUUAAAAAUAAUGGUUAGGCCUAUUUUUCUAAAACAAAGUUUCAUUUGCCAUUAUUUUUCUAUGUACUUGAUAGUUUUUAAAGCCCCUGAUGUUUGUUAGAAUGCUGUGGACUGCUGGUGGGUGAUGAGAAGGUGAUGAAUGCAACGCACAGCCUCUCAGUGUAGCAAGCAAGACUUCAGUGACAGGCUUUCAGCUGGGUGCUGCAUGUGCCGUUGAAAUAGUUUGUCUUGAUUUUAAUAUUGCACAUUGAUUGUCAUCAUUUCUCCAAAGUUCUUACAUCGGCUUCAACCUUAUUGAACGUAAAUCAGCGUGUUAAACCCAACAUCUUACUGUCAUCUAAAGCCUUCAGUGGGAACCAGAGAGGUCAGAAAUAAUGAAUAAAUAAAUGGAUGAGAUAAAAGACAAACCUUUACAGGACAAUCCAAGUGUUUCCUGCAGAGUGCAGGAUGUGUUUUUUUGAUAAGCUUUCUUUCUUGAGCACAGAUGUAGAACAAAAGUUGCUAAAGCCUAACUCGACACAUCCGACACCUGAAGAGUCUACUGAACUUUCAUGGGAUUUGCAAACUUUUGCACAGAUUAGUAAAAGUUGCUGUACUGAAUAUAAAUGUCACUUUUUAAAUCUAGUGCUGUUCAGUUGUUUUUAUGCAUUUUUUAAAAAUGUUUGCCACUGUAUUUUAUACAAUGCAACCCUUAACAGCUAAUUUGAAUGUUUUUGUUCUUAACUAUAUUUGAAGAAAUUAAAUAUCUGGUAAAUAGAAUGGGGGGGGGGGAGAAUAUGCUAUUGUAAAAGUUAAUAAACCGAAUACAUACUGAUUAGAAAGUGUUUGUUAGUAACAAAAUACCAUCCUUACUCCAACAUUGGUUAUGUGUAGAGGUUGACUUCAAAGCAGUCUUUACAAAUGAAAACUGGGCUGUGUUUGUACUAAAACAUGGAAAACAGAGUUCACAGCUGCAAAAUCUCCGGCAUUGGGACAUACUUUAGUUAUAUGACCAUACUUUUAUAUCUCACAAUCGUUAAUCACAGGAAUUGAAGUGGAUUUAUAUUGGCUCACAGUCACUUUGGCUUGUUAUCGAGUUAAACAUCAAGCUAAUAUGCUUCUAUUACUUAAGG